UCCUGGAUCCACUGUCACUCUGACCUGUAGGACCAGCCAAGCUGUUUACAGAUGGUCUAGUGGUGACGCCAUGUACUGGUAUCAACAUAAAUCUGGACAGACACCAAAGCUCCUAAUAAAAUAUGUGAAAACGCUUGAGUCAGGAACACCAUCUCGAUUUAGUGGCAGUGGAAGCAGCUCUGACUUCUCUAUGACCAUCAGUGGAGUUCAGGCUGAAGAUGCAGCAGUUUACUACUGUAAGAGUUUACAUGAAAUAAACAGUGCUUAUGUGUACACUUUUGGUGGAGGAACUAAACUCAUCAUUCACUCUGGCCCCAUGGUCAGACCCUCAGUCUCUCUGCUUCAACCCUCCCCUGAGGAUCUCUCUGGGUGCACGACCACACUGGCCUGCCUGUUGACCAGCUACUCUCCAGAGGGAGCCGAGGUGAGAUGGGAGGUGGACGGCAGAGAGGUGACAGAAGGGGUCCUGACCAGCUCAGAGGAGAAGAAGAGUGAUCGCUACAGCAGCAGCAGCACCCUGACCUUGAGCCAGAAAAGCUGGUUGAAGGGAGAGCUUUACUCCUGUAAGGUCAUCCAUCAUGGCCACACACAGUCCCAGUCCCUGAGCAGGAGCUGGUGUGAAGGCUAGAGGAGUUACUGAAGCCCAGGACAGGAGCCGGGUGUGUGGGGAGCAGGAGAAAGACACCCGCUUCUCUGAUCUAUAUGUGUUUUUGUUUGUAGAAGGAAUUAAAGCUUUGUGUGUGAGAGAACGACACUGCUGUAAAGUGUUGACAAGAACAACAAGCUAAAGAGUGACAUGUGCAGCUCAGCAGCUGGUUGUGAUUGUACUUGUCAUAUUAAUGAUUCAUGUUUGUGUCAAUAAAGCUUGCAGUUAUCCAGAAUAUUAUAAAACUUUUUUGUCUUUCUUCAAUGUUGAGAAGGAAGACGGUAUUCAGACAUUUCAUUAUUCUGUUUACAACAAAAUGACACAAAGGACUAGAAAACAAAA